AUUGAACGCUGGCGGCAGGCCUAACACAUGCAAGUCGAGCGGAUGAAGGGAGCUUGCUCCUGGAUUCAGCGGCGGACGGGUGAGUAAUGCCUAGGAAUCUGCCUGGUAGUGGGGGAUAACGUCCGGAAACGGGCGCUAAUACCGCAUACGUCCUGAGGGAGAAAGUGGGGGAUCUUCGGACUUCCCCCUAUAGGAUGAGCCUAGGUCGGAUUAGCUAGUUGGUGGGGUAAAGGCCUACCAAGGCGACGAUCCGUAACUGGUCUGAGAGGAUGAUCAGUCACACUGGAACUGAGACACGGUCCAGACUCCUACGGGAGGCAGCAGUGGGGAAUAUUGGACAAUGGGCGAAAGCCUGAUCCAGCCAUGCCGCGUGUGUGAAGAAGGUCUUCGGAUUGUAAAGCACUUUAAGUUGGGAGGAAGGGCAGUAAGUUAAUACCUUGCUGUUUUGACGUUACCAACAGAAUAAGCACCGGCUAACUUCGUG
rnacentral:rRNA from 1 species